rnacentral:rRNA from 1 species
UACGUAGGGGCAAGCGUUGUCCGGAAUCAUUGGGCGUAAAGAGCGCGUAGGCGGCCCUGUAAGUCCGCUGUGAAAGUCAAGGGCUCAACCCUUGGAUGCCGGUGGAUACUGCAGGGCUAGAGUCCGGAAGAGGCGAGUGGAAUUCCUGGUGUAGCGGUGAAAUGGCGCAGAUAUCAGGAGGAACACCGAUGGCGAAGGCAGCUCGCUGGGACGGUACUGACGCUGAGGCGCGAAAGCGUGGGGAGCAAACAGG